rnacentral:rRNA from 1 species
GUGAUUUGCUCAUGGACGGAGUCUGACCCAGCCUGCCGCGUGCAGGAUGACUGCCUUAUGGGUUGUAAACUGUUUUUACGAGUGGAUAAACUAUCAUUACGUGUAAGGUAUUGAAGGUACUCGUGAAUAAGCAUCGGCUAACUCCGUGCCAGCAGCCGCGGUAAUACGGAGGAUGCGAGCGUUAUCCGGAUUUAUUGGGUUUAAAGGGUGCGCAGGCUGUUUGUUAAGUCAAAGGUGAAAUCCCGGGGCUCAACUCCGGAACUGCCUAUGAUACUGGCAAACUUGAAUAUAGACGAAGUGGGCGGAAUAAGUCAUGUAGCGGUGAAAUGCAUAGAUAUGACUUAGAACACCGAUAGCGAAGGCAGCUCACUAGGCUAUUAUUGACGCUCAUGCACGAAAGCGUGGGGAGCGAACAGGAUUAGAUACCCUGGUAGUCCACGCCGUAAACGAUGAUCACUCGUUGUGGCAAUAUACAGUCAGGACUAAGCGAAAGGAUAAGUAUCCGCCUGAAGACGG